CUUUGGGGUGCUUGGAGGUUGUACCUGAUAUGACACCCCCUUACCAGAUUGCAAGUUCCACAAGGCCAGUGACCUCACCUAUCUGAAUCACCACUGUAUUCUCAAGACUUAGAUCUGUGCCUGGCACGUAGUAGGCACACAAGAAAUAAUUGUUGAAUAAACAGUGAUAACAUCCACUAACAGGAAAACAGUUUGGAGAUUUCUCAAAGGACUAAAACUAGAACCACCAUUCGACCCAGCAAUCCCAUUACUGGGUAUAUGCCCAAAGGAAAAGAAAUCAUUCUACAAGAAAGAUACAUGCACUCAUAUGUUAAUCACAGCACUAUUGACAAUAACAAAGACAUGGAAUCAACCUGGGUGCCCAUCAGUGGUGGACUGGAUAAAGAAAAUGUGGUACAUAUACACCAUGGAAUACCUCAUAGCCAUAAAAAUACACCAUGGAAUACCUCAUAGCCAUAAAAAAGGAUGAAACCAUGUCAUUUGCAGCAACGUGGAUGCAAGCUGGAGGCCAUUAUCCUAAGAUAUUAAUGCAGAAACAGAAAACCAAAUAUAGCAUGUUCUCAUAAGUGGAAGCUAAACAUUGGGUACACAGGGACAUACAGAUGGGAACAAUUGAUAGUGGGGACUACAGGUGUCUAUUGACAGGAGAGAGGGAGGGAGACAAGGACUGAAAAACUUGUCUACUGGGUACUAUGUUCACUAUCUGAGUGACCCAAACCUUAGCAUCAUGCAAUAUUAUACCUAGGUAACAAACCUGUAUAUGUACCCCUGAAUCUAAAAUAAAAGUUGAAAUUUUCGAAAGGAUGCAGUUUAAAAAAAAAUAGUGUAAAAGUAAUACGAGAACUUUUAGCACUACCUCUUCAAUUUUUAUGUUAAUUCAAAUCUGUUCUACACAAUGUCUAUUAAUUUUUUUAAACCUGGCAGCGCUGUUUCAGAAAAAGAUCCAUGUUAGCUAACGUCUAACAGUUAGAUAAAUUUCUGAACAUUGGGCCGGGCGCGGUGUCUCAUGCCUGUAAUCCCAGCACUUUGGGAGGCCAAGGCGGGCGGAUCACGAGGUCAGGAGAUCGAGACCAUCCU
rnacentral:lncRNA from 1 species